ACCAAAUUAUUAUGGACCGAAUUUAUAAGCCCAAAUAAUAAAGGCCCAUUGGAAAACUAUGACUACUUGAGUUUAUUUCUCUUGUAGAGGAUAUUCGUUUCCUUGACUUCCAAGCUUUAGAUCUCGAAUUCUUUACGACCUCACGCGGCAGUUCUCCGUGUACCUUCCCGGCUGAGAAAAAAAUGUCCAGUCCGAUGCAGAAUGAUUUGCAUUUGGAGAAAGACAAUUCAAAUCAAGCUCCGGCUGAUGUAGCAAUCGUUGCACCACCUCCAGAGAUGAGAAUUCAUAUCGAUAAAAUAGCACGUGUGGGAAAGGGUUGAGGAUAGAGAGAAGGAUCAUGAACGUUAGUGAGAUUCCCUCUAAAUUCGACUUUCUGAAGAAGUCAGAUCCUUAUCACGCAUAUUACAAGCACAAGGUUACUGAAUACCUUGCUAAGAAUCAAGAUGAAGGAGCUCAGGAUAUUCAUCAACCUGAAGCUCCAGCUACUCUUAAAGGUGAUGCACAACACUAUCUCCGGCCUCUUCCUUUAAGGGAUCCGGCUUCCAAGUUCCCAGAUUAUGUUCUCCCUGAAGGAUAUACUAUAGAGGAUCUUGAUACUAUUAUUCUCACAGCGCAGUUUGUGGGUCGGUACGGGCCGGAAUUUUGGUUGGAUUUGAUGAAGGAAGUGGAUAACAAACCUCUGUUUGAGUUUUUGAAGCCAGCUGACAGCAAGUUCGAUUAUUUCAAUCGGCUUUCUGUUGUGGCUUCGGAAGGACUAAAGCGAUCCGAAAAGCUGACUAGUUCUCGUAUGGCGAUUGUUAUUAAGGCUUUUUUCUACCAUCUUCGUCGUAAAAAGGAUAAGCGGGUGUUGAGCCACAAGGAGGGAGCGGCAAAGGCUAGUACUGUGUUUGGUGCUUUGUAUGCUUUUGUGGGUGCUGAUGGCUGCUUUGCUGACAUCAAGGACGAAGAUUUGCCACUACUUCAACACCCUUCAGCGAUCAAGAACAUACUAACAAAGCUGCAGCCUCGUAUGCCUCCACUGGGAUCUCAGCCAAAACUAUAAACAAAAGCUUGACGAGUCAGCUCUUGUUUCAAAACUUUGAAGGAGAAAAUAAUUGGGGGUGAUCUAAAUGCUAGCAAGCAACACUUAAGUUACGUGGAAGAGCCGGGUUUUAAAAGGACACUUGCAACAUUACAAUGUGAGAGCAGGAGUGCUUUUGUUAGAACACAGGGAAUUGGUUUUCAAUUUUUCAAUCUCUUUAACUCUUCUUUAUGUUUAAAAUAAAUUAACUUAAGUUUUGCUAUUGACUUAACGCUAUAAUCUUAAAGAACUCUUUGCUCUUAAUAUUAUGUGAUGCUCAUG